rnacentral:rRNA from 1 species
GGGAGGUAAAUUUCUCCUAAGGCUAAAUAUCGGCGAGAGACCGAUAGCGAACAAGUACCGUGAGGGAAAGAAGAAAAGAACUUUGAAAAGAGAGUUAAAUAGUACGUGAAAUUGUUGAAAGGGAAACGAUUGAAGCCAGUCGUACCGACGAGAAAUCAGCUCUUUUUGUGCGAACUUGUGGGCGUGCGUGAGCUUUACGGCCUCGCUGUUUGCUAUGUUUGUGCUCUUUGGGUGUACUUUUUCGUAUGGUAGGCCAAUGUCAGUUUCGAUUAUCAUAAAAUAAUCGGAGGAAUGUAGCUUCGAUA